GGGCUGCAGAACAGAGAUUUGUUCUUCACUCUUGCUUAAAGCAGAAUGAAAGCUCAUAAACUCCUCUCUCUGGGAAGCAUCUUCUUGUUCCUGCUUUUUUUCCAUCAGACCUGGGCUCAAUUCCCAAGAGAGUGUGCCACUGUUGAGGCCUUGAGAAAUGGUGUGUGUUGCCCAGACCUGUCCCCAGUGUCUGGGCCUGGGACUGACCCCUGUGGCUUCUCAUCAGGGCGGGGGAGGUGUGAGGCAGUGAUAGCAGACUCCAGACCCCACAGCCACCAUUACCCCCAUGAUGGCAGAGAUGAUCGGGAGGUUUGGCCCACACGGUUCUUCAACAGGACCUGCCACUGCAAUGGCAAUUUCUCAGGACACAACUGUGGGACUUGCCGUCCAGGAUGGAGAGGAGCUGCCUGUGAUCAGAAGGUUCUCACAGUCAGGAGAAACCUCCUGGCCUUGAAUACAGAAGAGAAGAACCACUUUGUCCAGGCCUUGGAUAUGGCAAAGCGCACAAUUCACCCUCAGUUUGUCAUUGCAACCAGGAGAUCAGAAGAAAUAUUUGGGCCAGAUGGCAACACACCACAGUUUGAGAACAUUUCCAUUUAUAACUACUUUGUUUGGACACACUAUUACUCAGUCAAAAAGACUUUCCUUGGGCCAGGACAGGAAAGCUUUGGUGAGGUGGAUUUCUCUCAUGAAGGACCAGCUUUUCUCACAUGGCACAGAUACCACCUACUGCAGUUGGAGAGAGACAUGCAGGAAAUGUUGCAGGAUCCUUCAUUCUCCCUCCCCUACUGGAAUUUUGCAACUGGGAAGAAUGUCUGUGACAUUUGCACUGAUGACCUGAUGGGAUCAAGAAGCAACUUUGAUUCCACUCUUAUAAGCCUGAACUCUGUCUUUUCUCAAUGGCGAGUGGUCUGCGAAUCCUUGGAGGAUUAUGAUACCCUGGGAACCCUUUGCAAUAGUACUGAGGGUGGGCCAAUUAGGAGAAAUCCAGCUGGAAAUGUGGCUAGACCAAUGGUGCAACGUCUUCCUGAACCACAGGAUGUCGCUCAGUGCUUGGAAGUUGGUUUAUUUGACACACCUCCUUUUUACUCCAAUUCUACUAACAGUUUCCGAAACACAGUGGAAGGUUACAGUGAUCCCACAGGAAAGUAUGACCCUGCUAUUCGAAGCCUUCACAAUUUGGCUCAUCUAUUUCUGAAUGGAACAGGGGGACAAACCCAUUUAUCCCCAAAUGAUCCUAUUUUUGUUCUCCUACAUACUUUCACUGAUGCAGUUUUUGAUGAAUGGCUGAGGAGAUAUAAGGCUGAUGUAUCCACAUUUCCAUUGGAAAAUGCCCCUAUUGGGCAUAAUAGACAAUACAAUAUGGUACCAUUCUGGCCUCCAGUUACCAAUGUAGAAAUGUUUGUUACUGCUCCAGACAAUCUGGGAUAUACUUACGAAGUUCAAUGGCCAAGUCGGAAUCUUAGUAUUCCUGAGAUUGUUACCAUAGCGGUAGUUGCUGCUUUAGUACUGGUUGCAGUCAUUUUUGCGGGUGCUUCUUGCCUGAUUCGUGCCAGAAGCAACAUGGAUGAAGCGAAUCAACCUCUUCUCACUGAUCAGUAUCAACACUAUGCUGACGACUAUGAAAAAAUGCAGAAUCCUAAUCAAUCUAUGGUCUAA
rnacentral:lncRNA from 12 species